rnacentral:piRNA from 1 species
UGUUCAGUUUGCCUCCUCUGCUACAGAGACC